GUUUCCCCACUCUGGCUUGGAGAGCGAGGCUUGGAGAGGGGCCCGGGGCACCCAGGGCCCUCCCUCGCGCGUGUCCGUGCCCACGAGCGGGGGCUGGGUGCCACCCGGUUUCCCGCAGCUGUUGGAGGGUUGGGGCAGGGCGGCUGCUGGAGGAGAAUGGAAGCCUCAUGGAGGAACAUCAUGUGUCUUCUUUACUGCUGUGUCCCCAGGGACCAGCAUGGGGCCUGGCAUAUACAGUAGCAGGAAAUUUUGUCGGAUGAAGGAGAGAAUGAAGGAUGGUCCUAUCUAGGCCAAUUUGGGCAACAUCUGACACCUACUGUGUGCCAAGCCUGGAGUCCCAGUCUACUCCGGGAGACACACACUCGAGCACAGAUGGUCUCCAACCAGGCAGAGUGAGAAGCUGCCAAGAAGGACUGACUGCAGCAUAAUGCUUCAUUUACUCAGGUCACCCUUUAAGCCAACG
rnacentral:lncRNA from 1 species